GAACUGGGGGGUUAACUUUUUAUCCUUUUGGAAUUUUAUUUUUUAACUAUUUUUAUUGGAUUCAAAUAGGGGGAGGGUAUUUGCUUAUUUAUGAAUAUUAUCUUAAGUAAAUGAAUCAAUUACCUAAAUGAUAUUGGGCAUAAAUAAGUGUCAAACCACAAGGCAA